UACGUAGGGGGCAAGCGUUGUCCGGAUUUACUGGGCGUAAAGCGCCUGUAGGCGGCCUGUCAAGUCCGGCCUGAAAGCCCCCGGCUCAACUGGGGAGGGUCACGCGAUACUGGUCGACUCGAAGGCAGGAGAGGGUAGUGGAAUUCCCGGUGUAGUGGUGAAAUGCGCAGAUAUCAGGAGGAACACCGAUGGCGAAGGCAGGUCUCUGGGCCGAUACUGACGCUGAGGAGCGAAAGCAUGGGGAGCAAACAGG
rnacentral:rRNA from 1 species